UGGGGUUUUUGGGGCGCCCGGACCUCAAAUUGACGCCUCGAUGACGUCAUCACGCACCCCAACCGGGUUUUUAAGGUUACCUGAUGACGUCAUCACGCACCCUAACCGGUUUUUGGGGUUACCCGAUGACGUCAUCACCACCCCAGCCGGUUUGGACCGGUUUUGGGGUUUUUUAAAAUUAUUUUUAGGAUCGACCUCGUUUUUUAAGGGUUUUAAUUAAAGGGUUAAAGGGUUUUAAUUAAUGUUUUUGGCGCGUUGAUGACGUCAUAAAGGGGGGAAUGAAGGGGUGGCGGCGGUGACGUCAUCGCCGCCCAAAUCCCAAAGAAGCCGCGGCCGAAUUUGGGGUGAAACAGCUCCGGAUCAGUUUUGGCUCCAUGGGGCGCCUUUGCCGCUGCUGCCGCCGCCGGGGCCGCUCCAAAAAUCGCCCCAAAAAUCGCCCCAAAAAUCUCCCCAAAAAUCACCCCAAAAAUCAGCGACACCCCCGGGCCUGCUCCCCUCCCCCAGCCCAGCCGCCCCGCCCGCCGAUGACAUCACCGCUGACGUCGCCGAUGACGUCACCAAGCCCCGCCUACGUCAUUUGGCCGCCGCCGGCCCUGGUGACGCUCGGGGCCCCUCGGGUGGCGCUGCUGGGGGAGCCCCAGCCCCAAAUCCGCUGCUUUUAACCCCAAAAAAUCCAAAUUUCAACCCCAAAAUUAACAAAUUUUAAUGCAAAAAAUUGGGAUUUUAUAACCCAAAAAAUUGGGAUUUUAUAAUCUAAAAUUUGGGAUUUUAUAACCCAAAAUUUGGGA